rnacentral:tRNA from 1 species
UGGAGCGGUGUCCGAGCGGUUGAAGGAUCCAGUCUUGAAAACUGGCGAGGGAGCAAUUCCUCCGAGGGUUCGAAUCCCUCCUGCUCCGA